CCAUCCCAUUCCAUGUCCCUCCAGCCCAUUCUGUUAGCAUCUGUCCCCUCACAUCCUGUCUCAUGUCCCCAUCUCUUCCCAUCUCGUGCCUUCCUUUCCUUUCCCAGCUUCUCUUUAAGGUUUGAGAUAAAAGUCUCUGCUGCUGCCCUGCAAAAGACCUGGGGAUUGAGGCAAUGCUUGGGAAUCCCACAUUUGGUCAGCAGUGACUUGUGCCACCUCAGGGCGUGUGGCAUUUUCCUGGCUGGGCAGGGGAAAACAGGGCACAGCCUGUUUCAAAUAGAAGGGGGCUGUGGCUGAACACCCACACAGCAGCCUGAGUGCUCAGGGCUUUUAAGACUCACACACAAAGGUUCAUGGACUCCACAGCAAACGAGCUGCAGAGUAAAUGAUAGGACUAUGAUGCUUUUCUUUAUGGGAUUCCCACGUGGGAAAGGGCAAAAUCUCAGAGGAGCUAACUCCUUUGGCUUCCACUCCCCAGAGGGGCUGCAAAAGAGUUACACCUGGUUGUGAGCUGAAUGUGUGAAUUAAGAGUCAGUUGGCACCUGGGCUGUGAAACCUCAGGUGCCUGUGGGAAAGGGAGAGGAGCCCUUGCCCUCUCAAGAGCUCCGUGCCCUCCCUGCAAUCCUUGGGGAAUGGCAGCAGGCAGGUAGGAGCAGCAGGGAAUCAAAGGCUAUUCAGCUGUGGGUUAAGUGAUGGACAUCUGCUGGCCUCUUGCUGUGCCCUGGUUCUGCUUUUACACUCUUGCUUGCCAACAGCAGUGCUAAAGGUAAUUUGUCACAGCUGAUGUUAAAGGUGUGGAGGUACUGGCUGCCACGUGCUGAGGUUAUUCGUGUUCCUGUCAUUUCAAAGGUUGCCAGCUUUGAAUCCUGGGGUUUGGUUCUCUCCUGUGAUUAAUUUGGAGGAACUUUGGAGAUUUCUGAUAGCUGGUGCCUUUCUAUGUCUUCUCUUUUCUUCUCUUUGGGAGAACAAAGUGUUGAGUUGCCAUUAUAAAAACUAAGAAGAAAAACUGGGCUUAUAAGCUGGUUUGUAAAAUGGAUUGGGCCAAUUCUGAAAGCUUUCAGAGAAAAAAUACUAGAAAAUGCAAGUGACCUGGGUCUUUCAGAACAUGGCCAUGUGUGAGUCAACGUGUUAUCUCCCACACACACUCAGCUGUUCCCUGAUUGUGGCCAGAGUUUGCAAUGACAUUGUUGGCAUGUCAUGGUGCUGGGGACAAAGUCCUUGGGAGAGGCUGAUGGAGGAGCUGUGCCUUGUUAUUUCAUGUGUCCAGUUAAUGCAGUAAUAUAACCUAAAAGAUGAUGGGAAGAGCUCUAUAACAGAUGCAUAUGCAUUGAGUCUUGGGCCACAAAUGGUCCAUGGCAAGGCCAGGGGAUCACAUCCUCCCUCCUACAGCACACCUGCACGUGGCAGAGGCAGCAGCAGCCCCUUGGCUGGCUGGCAGGGGGCUUUUUCAAAGUAGCUUAACUGCUUGGAAAUGUUUUAUAAAAAUAUCUUAUGAAAACUCUUCUGAGAAAGGCAGGGUGCUUCAGGACAUGCUUAAACAACUGGUGACUUCCAGCUGAUGGAGCUGAUGAUUUUGCUUUAAUUUGGGACUCUAUCUCCACCCCACACGUGUGUAUUUGUGAUACUAUAACAGAUCCCUAGUGGGAGGCAGCCUCACGGCACACAUGAGUGUGCCAGGUUGGCUCCUUAUACCCAAAAAAAAAGGGUCCCUGGGGGAGAGUAGCUGUUCAGAGCCAGUGAAAACCUCUGCAGCAGUCUCUGGCUGUGCCUGCACCCACAAGGAGCAGUUCAGUGCUCUGCCUGACUUCAUGCCAAUACUGACCUCUGAGUACAUGCGCUCACCCAGAGAAUUUACUUCUCCCUGUCAAAGCAGGCCUUUGCUAUUUACCAAAGCAUUAAAUAAGAUAGGCCUGUUACACCCAACUGCUAAGGUUUCAGAGGGGGUGCAAAGGCAGUACUGAUGCUCUCCCAUAAUGACUUAUAUUGCUUGCUGCCAGUUUUUACAGCAAGUCCAUGGAGACCUGCAGAAAGAGGCAGCCAGAGCCCACGUACAAUGGUGAACACACCUUCCUUCUCCAGCCCCUGCCACACCACCACCUUGGGUUUCUGCCAGGUAGUCAGAAAAUACCACUUAAUUGAUGCCAUUAGCACCUUUCCCCUCAGUGUAGUGAAUGCUUGUGCACAAACUAUAAAGGAAGAAGAGGGUGGCAGAGGGAGACAGCAUCUAGCACAACCCAUUCCAAAUGCCUGCCUCUCAAAACAUGGGAGGUGCUUCUUGUAUACAGCACUUCUCAAGGUGCUGAAGUAUUCGUGGGCAUGUAGAACUAUAUCUGCAUGCUUUCAAAGGCUUGCAGGAAGAUGGCCCAGAGAAGCUCUUUUCUCUUUUCAUAAUAAGUAAACCCUGUGCAGGAAGCACUACUGAAGUUCUGUGGGCACAGUCAUUGGACAGGCAGCAGUUCAGCUGAGGGGCACUGUUUUAUUCCAUCAAAUGCCAUCCCCCCAACACAUCAGUUCCCCUUAUGGAAGGGACACAGACAAGCACACAAACACAACAGGGCCAUCAUGGCUCUUGAAAUUUAUUUUCAGAGCGCAGUGCUUCAGCUACAAUUAAAAUACUUGAGCAAUUAAAAAAUGCUACUGACUCAAUGCUAGAGCUGGACAACAACUAACACUGUUACUCUCAUGCACUGACAGAUACUAGUUUGCUCAUGCCACUGAAGUAGGCUCGUUCUCGUUCACUCAUCACUUCAAAAUGCAGGGGUCGUCUACAGAAGUUGCAUUCAGCUGAGGAGUG